AGAUCGGGGAAUUCCGCAAAGCUUGUGAAGAUAAGAUAACCCAUAGGUAUCAAAACCCAUGGUCCCCUCUGCCACAUAUUCUUGAUGCACAAGGAUUUGGAGAACGAGUUUCCCUUGCGUGGAACCAUGAGAAAUAUGAUAAUUAUUGUUACAGCAAAGGUCCUUGGGCUUCGUUGAGGAAGCAAAGCAACCUAUGUACAUCAGCUGUGGAACGCUUUAGACCGGCAGGGACACCACGUGGAAGCCGCCAAUGAAUAGUAGAAGAGAAUCUUGGAUGGAAUAAC